CUUAACCCCAGCCAAAGGGCUGGGGCCUUGUAAGUAAAAUGAACAUUUAGCAAUUGUAAUAGCCUUUUGUGUAACAUUUAGCAACCUUUUGUAAGUAAUAUGUUGUAGUUUUGUAUUGUAUCAUAAUUGUAGUAAAUUGACAUUCUGCUAGCAUCUGUUUAUUUGUUAUAGUUAUAUUUGUAUUGUAUCAUAAUUGUAGUAAAUUGACAUUCUGCUAGCAUCUGUUUAUUUGUUAUAGUUAUAUUAAAUAUACAUUUAAUAUUACAACGUUUUGUGUAUUUUCUAUCCACAUAUUCGACCAUAAUACCAUGAAUUAUAAAAAUAUUAAUGUUGUUCCGUAUUGCUUAAUUAUUAUGUAUUAAGAGAUUAAUAUUCAUAUUUAGGUCACGACCACAACAACUUGUCAACUAAAAGUGUUUCCUUUCUCAAGUACAGGUAGUAAGAAAUAUGCCUGUCUUUCUUGGCUCAGGACUCUGCUUUGGAAAUUGCAUUCAUCAACACAACAAUAAUUACCAGACCACCUGCUUGGUAAUUGAACACAAAUUUGGUGUUCUUGAAUCCACAUUCCUAUGCCUUUACAAGUAAAGUGGAUUUCUAUUGUACCCUCCAAGGAAGGCGGUGAUAUCAUGCUCCACAUGAUACAUUAUUUAUGCACAAUAUAGCCCUGCGGGGUUGUGCAACAAUACAGUCAAUUGCUUUAGGA